CCAGGAUGUAUCGGGGGUUUAUAAACGACAGCCUGGCCUAACAGAAACAACGGUCGUCUGCGAAACUUGUGCUGUCUUCUGCAAGUACGCUGUAGCUGACACAGUGAAGAGCAUCAACCAAUCAUGAAGGUCCUUCUCCUGUUACUCGUCGUCAUUGGAUUGGCAGCAGCUGAUGCCUGGCCUCGGUGGGGACUUAGAAGUGCUGAUCCCGUGGCAGCACCUGUCUUUGCUUGGUUGGGACAUGGAAGUGAUGAUCCUUUGGCAGCAGCUUAUGACGUGCCUGCGAGGGCUCGUAGAAGUGCUGAUCCCGGUCGCUGCUUUCUAUGCUGAGAGAAGAGGCCACAAAGGGUGACGAGCGACAAUAAAACCACCUGGUAACCAAGCUCGAAA